CUUGAGUCCAGUACUGAAGAGCCCAACACCACAACUCCAUCUACCGGUUGUACCACAACCCAUGCCAUGCACCUCGCUAGAAGAGAGAAAAGGCAGGACAGCAUUCAGCACUGGGAGCAGUUUUGCAACAGCAGAAGCAACAGCAUUCUCUAGCCGUGGUAGCGGGUAUCUCCCAAGAAGCAAAGCUGCCAGUACUCACGCAAAUAUUGGAAAUGAUGGGAAAGUGACAGACCUGUUCAUCUAAACAGCAGAGGCUCUGGCACAAAAGCAGCAGACAGUUCGAUACUGCUAAGAGCAGCGUGAUCUACACUGCAGAUCAUGGCCAGGCUGCUGCCAACCAAGCAACAGUGCAGCGUGGCCACCUGCUUUGAUCUGUUUCCCUUGAUCUCCAAAUGAAUGGAUGACUGUGUUGAUGCAGGGUAAUGUCUUUGCCUUUCAUUUCUCAUGGCUUUUUGAUAUUACCAGUUGCCAGUAGUGUCAGUAUGUCAGUUCUGAAUGGCUUUUAAUUUUUUUUUUUUUAAAUCAUUUUGGUUCUUCUUGACAAAAUGAGUCCAAUCCGUGUUGGCAGCACUAAUUGUCCUACAUCUAAAUCUACAGUUAUAUGUCUGAGCAAGAGUCAUCUGGACAAUUGCACAAAACAUGCACAUUUUUGUUGCGAAAGGAACUAGAAGCUUUUUCAAUGAUACUUUAAUGCUGUAAGGCUUUUAGUAGAUCAGACAAAUUGAAGUUGAGUUGGAUAAAAAUUCAUCUACUUCAAAGAAUUAAGGCUCUGUAGAAAUAGGGGGUUAUAAUUGUCAUGGCAAGGAUUGCUCGGAAUUACAUAAAUUUUCUGCUUUCUGUCAAGGCUAUUAAAAAAUAAAUAGGAACACGAUGAAGAAAAAGAGGAUCAUUUUUCUCACAUAUUUGUGUUCUAGCUGUAAUUGAAAAUGUUUAGUAAAAAGCAUGCAAAAGUUUAUCAGCCCUCCAAUAAUAACUCAAGACCUAAGUACUUCCUUAAUAUACCUGAACAGGCUGUAAGAGACUUUUUUGUUUGGAGUACUAACAUCCAUUAACAAGGAAGAUUUCCAUGUGUAAAAUGCACUUUGAGAGAAAAAGCUCCCCAAAGAGGGACAAGACUCACUAAUUCUUGUAAAAUAUUAAUUAUAAAAAUAAUAACAGCCACCCAGGCAUUUAUCAAUCUAGGAUUUCAAACCGUUAAUUGAAAUUCCUUUCACAAACAUCUGUAUUUUUGCUUUGCCUCCUGCCACAUUCUCUUUUGCCCUCCAAGCCUACCACUAUCUUAAGAGCAUCCUAUUUUCCUGAACCUUUCCUCAUUUUCCCCAAACACGUGCCGUAACUAACUUAUUCUUCUGUUGUACCAAAGCAGCAUUUUGUGGGGAUGCAAUGCAAGAUGGCUCCCAGAAAUGGACUGGCUGAAAGGAGGCAGAGAAGGGAAAGGGAUUUUGUGUUCCCUCUGCACACCUUGUCUGGGUUGGCUCACUGAUUCAGUUAUAGAAAACACCACCAUAAACUGGCACUGUCACAGUGCUGCAGGGAGCAGAAAACACACACACACACAAAAAUAAACAGAAGCACAUGCUAGCAAAUUACACAUGGGGAACAAACUGAUGGAUAUGUUACCUUCUCACUGAUUUUUACUUUUUGUACUGUAGAAGACCUAGGGCUAGCUGUCAUAGACAGACUAAGCAAAAUCACCACCUUUAAGUAAUACCCAGAUUGCAAAAUAGCUCCAAAACAAAAUGGAACAUAUGUAAUCACAAACAAGCCCACAGAUAAACAACUGUCAGGUUACACAUUAUCAGUGCAAGGCUGCUGUGUGGGAGGAGUAGGGGGGAAAGAAAUAGAUUGUUACUGUAAACGUGAUCAAAAUGGCAGAGCAACCAGAGGGAAAAAAAGUCCAACAAAAUUUCAUGAAAGACAUCCAAACUGAAACUAAUCUAAAAAAGGAAUAAAGCCUUCAAAUUUGUUUGUUUGCCCUGUAGCUCUGAAGAAGUAAAAUAUGAAAUAAUAUUUCUGCAAUGCCUUCCUCCCUGGAUUGCUCCAGGUUUAAUACUUGUCAACAGCAGUAAUGUUCAGUGCAGCCAGCCCCGAACCAGACGCUGUAUGUCUUUCUGCUUCUGUAUCCGCUGCUGAAAAUGCAGCUUCAGCCAUACAAGCACAGCAUAAAAAGCCCCAACAUCUCCCAGUCCUCUUUCCUCCUUCCUGGUUAUUCCCUUGUAAAGUACUGAAAAUUCAAUAUUAGACAGCUUAUAACUAAAAAAAAAAAUAAAUCUGAUGCUUCAUCUAUGUCAAAAAUGACAAGUUCCUAGGUUUCUCAGCUCUGUUUUGCCCAGCUUGAUUCUGAUACGAUGAAGCUGGUACCUGCAAUAUGUGAUGCAGGAAAAUUUAAUUGUUAAAUGUGAUCUCACCAUUAAGUGCAGUUAUUCUUGGUUAGGGUAACACAGCAUAAGAAUGGUAAAUAUGCAAAAUACCCUAAUUUGUAGAUGCUGUCCCACAAAUCCAUGAUAGCCAGAACUUAGUAAGUAGCCUAUUUACAUUUCCUGAAAUAAUCACAAAUGAUUCAGUAAAUAAAAUAAAGUAAAACCCCAAACAGUAGAAAGAUAAAUUAAAACCCUAAACAGCAGAAAGCCGUUGCAGUGGACCUGACUGAGGAAUGAAGCAAUUAAAGGCUGACUAUGCUAUUUCUACCCAGAAAUAAAUGUCUGGAUUUCAGCAUCAAGUCAGUGUGAUUCUGGAGAAGCUCUGCACUGUAAGCUGUUUAGCACUUGUCCAGGAAAUAAAACACACAGCUUAGUCUUUGCAUUGGCUUUCUCAUACGUGAUAUGGGGCGAUGACUUUGCACUGAUAGGCAGUAUCUGCUGUUUAGUUAUUUGGUCUUACGAGUACUGGCUUUCCACAUCAGGAGGUCUGAAAAUGUUUCCACUGCCAUACGCACGAAUGAGUUGAAGCGGGGAGUACAGAUUGCUGUUUCUAAGUACAUGACUUGGCUAAAAUAAAUAAAUAAAAAUAAUAAAAAACAUAUCAAUGUAUCACUUUUACAGUGCGUUAAAAGAGAAGAAAAACUGUUAGACGUGUUUAUUUGUUUGAAAACUGGUCCAUUUUACUAUUUCCAAACAUUUUCAGAUUUAAAUGCAGUUUCUCAAGGUCUUUAAAGUGAGAAAAACAUUCCCAGGUGAACAUAAACCACACCAAGCAGAAAUCAAGGCACAAAAGCUACCAAAACCAGACAGUGUCUUGCCCAGGGUGUGUGCAUCUGCACAGAUGAAUCUGAAGCACAGAAUAUUAUUUGAAAGGCUUCAAAAGAUACAUUCCAUGCUAAGAAUAUUAUGACUAUGCUUCUAAUGUGCAAGAGCCACCUAAGAAGUGACCAGUAGAAGUCAAACAUCACCAAGCUGCCAUAGCCAUACACAAUAUGCCUCAAAAUGACCUCAGUGUUUUCUUAAAAUUCUGCAAAGUCAUUCUCUGUUUCCCUACCCUCAUUGGAAGCCAUAAAAGUAAAAAAAAAAAAAAAAAACAAACAAACAAAACACCAAACUAAUUUGUAAUUAUUAUAAGGUUGGGAGAUUGGUGAAGGGGGUGGGCAGCUGAGCUUUUUCGAUUUGGAGAGUUUUACAACACACUUGGAAAGUGCUAGAAGAUGUAUGGCAACUGCAACCCAAAACAUCACAAAUUUUUCUGUGUUUCAAGACAAAAUUUAACUUCCAUUUAUUUAAGACUCUCUGAUAUUUAUAUGCAACCUGUCACUGAUUUUCAGACACCACUCCUCAUGUUUAAUGCUGUUAGAUCAUUUCUAGAAAAUGGUAGGUUUGUUUAAUGUAAGCCUGUCACUGCACAGCAGAGUUGGUGGCUGUCAAUGAUACUCUGAAGAUACUUACUGUAGUCAAAGUCUAUGGAGGCAAAUUGUUGUUAAAAG